UCAGAAACUCCCUCUCUUGUUUGUUCAUUGGCUUAAAGAUAGCUCUUUUCUGGCACAUGUCCAGAGCAGCAAGCUCCGAUAUUGAAAGUUCAGUGUCAGGAGCAAAGUUAGCGGGCUGCCUGAAGAAGGAACACCUUGCCUCUAAUUUUGCCAGGUCAUGAGGAUCCAAAUUACACCCUGUAAGUACAUGAAGAACAAUGGAGGGAUUGGCAGCCAAAGGGAACUCUCCCGGAGUAGAUUCUCCAUAACAAUGCCGCUGCUGACGAUGGUACGUCUGCACCUGAGGGGCAAGGGUGAGAGACUGAUCGACAAUGCCAUGAUAUUGAAUGGUUGCAGACUGAGAGAAGGGUCCACUUGUUGUAGUGUCCAUGGGCACUGCUGCCUGCAGUGCCCUCAAUGAAGUUAAACAAUCGCUAGGUACGGGGG